rnacentral:rRNA from 1 species
CCGAUAACGCUUUGCUCCUGGAAGGGGCAAAGCCGGAAACGCUCCGGCGCCACAGGAUGCGGCUGCGGUCGAUUAGGUAGACGGUGGGGUAACGGCCCACCGUGCCCAUAAUCGGUACGGGUUGUGAGAGCAAGAGCCCGGAGACGGAAUCUGAGACAAGAUUCCGGGCCCUACGGGGCGCAGCAGGCGCGAAACCUUUACACUGUACGAAAGUGCGAUAAGGGGACUCCGAGUGUGAAGGCAUAGAGCCUUCACUUUUGUACACCGUAAGGUGGUGCACGAAUAAGGACUGGGCAAGACCGGUGCCAGCCGCCGCGGUAAUACCGGCAGUCCGAGUGAUGGCCGAUCUUAUUGGGCCUAAAGCGUCCGUAGCUGGCUGAACAAGUCCGUUGGGAAAUCUGUCCGCUUAACGGGCAGGCGUCCAGCGGAAACUGUUCAGCUUGGGACCGGAAGACCUGAGGGGUACGUCUGGGGUAGGAGUGAAAUCCUGUAAUCCUGGACGGACCGCCGGUGGCGAAAGCGCCUCAGGAGAACGGAUCCGACAGUGAGGGACGAAAGCUAGGGUCUCGAACCGGAUUAGAUACCCGGGUAGUCCUAGCUGUAAACGAUGUCCGCUAGGUGUGGCGCAGGCUACGAGCCUGCGCUGUGCCGUAGGGAAGCCGAGAAGCGGACCGCCUUGGGAAGUACGUCUGCAAGGAUNAAAACUUAAAGGAAUUGGCGGGAGCACUACAACCGGAGGAGCCUGCGGUUUAAUUGGACUCAACGCCGGACAUCUCACCAGCCCCGACAGUAGUAAUGACGGUCAGG